rnacentral:rRNA from 1 species
AUUGAACGCUGGCGGAAUGCUUUACACAUGCAAGUCGAACGGCAGCACGGACUUCGGUCUGGUGGCGAGUGGCGAACGGGUGAGUAAUGUAUCGGAACGUGCCCAGUCGUGGGGGAUAACGUAGUGAAAAUUACGCUAAUACCGCAUACGAUCUAUGGAUGAAAGCGGGGGAUCGCAAGACCUCGCGCGAUUGGAGCGGCCGAUAUCAGAUUAGGUAGUUGGUGGGGUAAAGGCCCACCAAGCCAACGAUCUGUAGCUGGUCUGAGAGGACGACCAGCCACACUGGAACUGAGACACGGUCCAGACUCCUACGGGAGGCAGCAAUGGGGAAUUUUGGACAAUGGGCGAAAGCCUGAUCCAGCCAUUCCGCGUGCAGGAUGAAGGCCCUCGGGUUGUAAACUGCUUUUGUACAGAACGAAAAGGUUUCUACUAAUACUAGGAGCUCAUGACGGUACUGUAAGAAUAAGCACCGGCUAACUACGUGCCAGCCGCCACAGUAA